rnacentral:rRNA from 1 species
UGCCAGACUCCUACGGGAGGCAGCAGUGAGGAAUAUUGGUCAAUGGGCGCGAGCCUGAACCAGCCAAGUCGCGUGAGGGAUGACGGCCCUACGGGUUGUAAACCUCUUUUGUCGGGGAGCAAAUUCCGCCACGUGUGGCGGAGUCGAGAGUACCCGAAGAAAAAGCAUCGGCUAACUCCGUGCCAGCAGCCGCGGUAAUACGUAGGUGGCAAGCGUUGUCCGGAAUUACUGGGUGUAAAGGGAGCGUAGGCGGGAAGCCAAGUCAGCUGUGAAAACUACGGGCUUAACCUGUAGACUGCAGUUGAAACUGGCUUUCUUGAGUGAAGUAGAGGUUGGCGGAAUUCCGAGUGUAGCGGUGAAAUGCGUAGAUAUUCGGAGGAACACCGGUGGCGAAGGCGGCCAACUGGGCUUUAACUGACGCUGAGGCUCGAAAGUGUGGGGAGCAAACAGGAUUAGAUACCCCUGUAC